rnacentral:rRNA from 1 species
GGUAGUCCACGCCGUAAACGAUGGGCACUAGGUGCCUGGGGGAGCGACCCCCCGGGUGCCGGCGCUAACGCAUUAAGUGCCCCGCCUGGGGAGUACGGCCGCAAGGCUGAAACUCAAAGGAAUUGACGGGGCCCGCACAAGCGGUGGAGCAUGUGGUUUAAUUCGACGCAACGCGAAGAACCUUACCUGGGCUUGACAUCCUCGGGAAAGCCGGCGGAAAGGCCGGCCCCCUUCGGGGGCCCGAGGACAGGUGCUGCAUGGCUGUCGUCAGCUCGCGUCGUGAGAUGUUGGGUUAAG